CGAAGGGUGCAAGCGUUACUCGGAAUUACUGGGCGUAAAGCGUGCGUAGGUGGUGAGUUAAGUCUGUCGUGAAAGCCCCGGGCUCAACCUGGGAAUGGCGAUGGAUACUGGCUCGCUAGAGUGCGGUAGAGGAGAGUGGAAUUCCCGGUGUAGCAGUGAAAUGCGUAGAGAUCGGGAGGAACAUCAGUUGCGAAGGCGGCUCUCUGGACCAGCACUGACACUGAGGCACGAAAGCGUGGGGAGCAAACAGGAUUAGAUACCCUGGUAGUCCACGCCCUAAACGAUGCGAACUGGACGUUGGGAGCAACUAGGCUCUCAGUGUCGAAGCUAACGCGUUAAGUUCGCCGCCUGGGGAGUACGGUCGCAAGACUG
rnacentral:rRNA from 1 species